UACGACGUUAUCAUGCAUCAUAACAGCGAGCGGCAGGUGACCGAUCUAUACUUGGCAGAAGCGUGCGAGCCUCCACCGACGCAUCAUCUUCAUCGCCGCUCGCAGAGUCACAGGACCAGUGUACCCCAUCAGGAUGAAUCCCCCGCCCCCAGUGGUGACGGUGGUCGUUCGCCCGGACGGCCCGGACUGCUGCCCACCGGUCACCUCUCACUCGCACCACUACCCGCCGCCACCGAUGCCUCCUCACUCGCACUGCCCUGGGCACUGCCCCAACGUGGUCGUGACCGACGAGCGCCACGAGAGGCGCAGAAGGCGCUCCAAGGUCCUGCGGCUGUUGAGGCUCUCCUUCGGCGGGCACCACGGACUAAGGCGACACUAGCGACACUCCACCUCGCGAUUCAUUUGUGUUUUUUGUGCGCGAACGGUUAUCCCGGAAUAAACAUUGCCUGGUAC